ACUCCUACGGGAGGCAGCAGUAGGGAAUCUUCCACAAUGGGCGCAAGCCUGAUGGAGCAACACCGCGUGAGUGAAGAAGGGUUUCGGCUCGUAAAGCUCUGUUGUUAAAGAAGAACACGUAUGAGAGUAACUGUUCAUACGUUGACGGUAUUUAACCAGAAAGUCACGGCUAACUACGUGCCAGCAGCCGCGGUAAUACGUAGGUGGCAAGCGUUAUCCGGAUUUAUUGGGCGUAAAGAGAGUGCAGGCGGUUUUCUAAGUCUGAUGUGAAAGCCUUCGGCUUAACCGGAGAAGUGCAUCGGAAACUGGAUAACUUGAGUGUAGAAGAGGGUAGUGGAACUCCAUGUGUAGCGGUGGAAUGCGUAGAUAUAUGGAAGAACACCAGUGGCGAAGGCGGCUACCUGGUCUGCAACUGACGCUGAGACUCGAAAGCAUGGGUAGCGAACAGGAUUAGAUACCCUGGUAGGAUAGCG
rnacentral:rRNA from 1 species